GGCCCAAUGGUCUAGUGGUAAGAUACUUGCUUUGGGACAGUACCUGUCGAUAUAUGCAAGGGAUCCUGGGUUCGAUCCCCAGUUGGGCCC